rfam:Streptococcus sp. FF10 genome assembly, contig: CONTIG000015
AACCGCCGUGUGCCGAACGGCACGCACGGUGGUGUGAGAGGGGCUAGGAAUUAGUCUCUACUCGAU